AUUCCUGCAGUUACCGACAACGAGAGCCUCGAUCGGAGCUCCACCAGGCCGGCUGUGCUCCCCAAAGCACACGCCAGGCUCUGCUCCGGCACGGCAGGCGAUGUGCCACCCAGCUCCGCACACACCCGGCUCGGGGCGCCCAGCUCCGGGGCGCGCUCCAGGCUCCGUGAGCACCGCACCGCUCCAGCGCGGCGUGCCGGCCACCUCCUGGGGAGCGCAUCGGUGGGAAACCCCGGCUCUCUCCCCAAAAUACCCCCGCGCUUCUCCCCGGGUGCGAGCACGCCUCCUCCCUCCAGGCAGGCUGCUGCUGUAGCCAAGGUUACCCAAGGAGACCCUCGCCGAAGUUGCUGGGUUCCCGAUCCGCGGCGCUGCCCCCCGGCCCCGCACCGCCCCGCGCCGCUCCCGCAGGUGCGCGGCCGCCCCCCCGCAGCACCGGCGAGCCGUAAAACGGGGGAGGAGAGCGCACCGAGGCGGCAGGGGACGGCUGCCCCCGUCUCCUCUGCCUCUCCUGCGGCUGCUCUGCCGGGGGCACCCCGCGGGGGGCUCCUGGAGCUUCCCCCGAGCCCCCCCAAAAUCUCUCUCUCCCCCCCCCAAGCACCCAGCACGCCCCCGCCGCAUUACCUAACUGCGAGCGGCACUGGGCGGCUCGGCACCGGCUCCAAGCGACGCCGAGGCGGCUGCACCCCCCCUUGCCGGCUAUUAAAAAAAAUAAUAAUAAUAAAAAAAAAAAAAGUAGAAAAAAAAAUUCAAAGUGCAACUCCCCGCGCACAGGCAAGUUACUGGCCAAGUCCUGCGUGCAGCCAGGCGGCGGGGGGGUCCCUCCCUCUGCCCUCCCGUCCCGUCCCGUCCCGUCCCGCCGCUCACCCCCGAAGCUGCCGCGGACCGGGCUGGGCUCCGGCUCCGGCUCCGGCUCCGGGUCGGGCUGGGGCUCGGCUCCGCGCGGCGCUCCCCGCCCGCGCCCGGGAUGAGCUCAGCUCAGCCCCGCCGCACGCCGCCCCGCUCCGCCCGCCCGCCGCAGCUCUCGCGAGAGGCGGGGAGGGAGAGGAGGCAGAGGCAGAGGCAGAGGCAGAGGGGCUGCCCCGCCGCCCGCCCCUGCGCGCUCCGGAGAGGCGGGGCGGGGGCGAGCGGCCCCCGCGCGUUGCUGAGGCAACGGCCCAAGCGCCGGGCCUGUGA
rnacentral:lncRNA from 1 species